GCCUUUGUAGUGUAGUGGUCAGCACACUCGAAGUGUAACCGUGAGGUCCGUGGUUAGAUUCCCGGCGAAGGCG
rfam:Stegodyphus mimosarum contig5810, whole genome shotgun sequence.